rnacentral:rRNA from 1 species
CGCCUGUUUAUUAAAAACAUAGUUUAUAUUAUUUUUUUAUAGAUAUAACCUGCCCACUGAAAAUUUUAUAUUUUUAAAAGGCCGCAGUAUUUUGACUGUGCUAAGGUAGCAUAAUCAUUAGGUUUUUAAUUGUAAUCUGGCAUGAAUGGUUAAAUGAAAUAAAAUCUUUUUUAGUUUUAUUAUUUAAAUUUUAUAUAUUAGUUAAAAAGCUGAUUUUAAAAAUAGGGACGAGAAGACCCUAUAGAAUUUAUAUAAAUUUUUUAUUAAUUUUUUAUUAUUAUUUUAAUUUAUUAUUAUAAAUUUUAUUUUAUUGGGGAGAUAGUUAAAUUUUUUAAACUUUAGUUUAUAUAUUCAUUAAUUUAUGUUUAUUUGAUCUUUUUUUAUUGAUUAAAAAUUUAAAUUACCUUAGGGAUAACAGCAUAAUAUUUUUAUUAAGUUCUUAUUAAUAAAAGAGUUUAUGACCUCGAUGU